AUUGAACGCUGGCGGCAGGCUUAACACAUGCAAGUCGAGCGGAGACUUCGGUCUUAGCGGCGAACGGGUGAGUAAUACCUAGGAAUCUGCCUAUUAGUGGGGGAUAACGAAUCGAAAGGUUCGCUAAUACCGCAUACGUCCUACGGGAGAAAGAGGGCCUCUGCUUGCACGCUCUCACUCCAGGAUGAGCCCACGUCCGAUUAGCUAGUUGGUAGGGUAAAGGCCUACCAAGGCCACGAUCGGUAGCUGGUCUGAGAGGAUGAUCAGCCACACUGGGACUGAGACACGGCCCAGACUCCUACGGGAGGCAGCAGUGGGGAAUAUUGGACAAUGGGCGCAAGCCUGAUCCAGCAAUGCCGCGUGUGUGAAGAAGGCCUGCGGGUUGUAAAGCACUUUCAGUGGGGAAGAACAGAUUCGGGUCAAUACCCCGGAGCCCUGACGUUACCCACAGAAGAAGCACCGGCUAACUCCGUGCCAGCAG
rnacentral:rRNA from 1 species